rnacentral:rRNA from 1 species
GAUGAACGCUGGCGGCGUGCCUAAUACAUGCAAGUCGAGCGAACGGACGAGAAGCUUGCUUCUCUGAUGUUAGCGGCGGACGGGUGAGUAACACGUGGAUAACCUACCUAUAAGACUGGGAUAACUUCGGGAAACCGGAGCUAAUACCGGAUAAUAUUUUGAACCGCAUGGUUCAAAAGUGAAAGACGGUCUUUCUGUCACUUAUAGAUGGAUCCGCGCUGCAUUAGCUAGUUGGUAAGGUAACGGCUUACCAAGGCAACGAUGCAUAGCCGACCUGAGAGCGUGAUCGGCCCCACUGGAACUGAGACACGGUCCAGACUCCUACGGGAGGCAGCAGUAGGGAAUCUUCCGCAAUGGGCGAAAGCCUGACGGAGCAACGCCGCGUGAGUGAUGAAGGUCUUCGGAUCGUAAAACUCUGUUAUUAGGGAAGAACAUAUGUGUAAGUAACUGUGAACAUCUUGACGGUACCUAAUCAGAAAGCCACGGCUAACUACGUG